rnacentral:lncRNA from 1 species
GAGCCACCCAGGCAUCCCAGCUUUAUCUUUCAUUAAAUUAAGAUAACAGCACAGUAUAAUCAAAAUCAGAGAAGGGACUGUUGUCAUCCUUACUUCACAGAAGAGGAAUGAAAGGAAGCCACAGAGGAAGAGAAGUGCAUCACCCAAGGUCACAUGGCUGGUAAGUGUGAGAUCUGAAAUCUGAGCUGGGGCUGCCACUUCAAACUGCUUUUUCUUUUUUUUUUUUUUAAGAUGGUACACUAAAUAACCUUUGUGUAAUUAAUUAACUAAUUAAUUAGUGUUGUUUUUUUAAAUGAAA